UACAGAGGGGGCAAGCGUUGUUCGGAAUUACUGGGCGUAAAGGGCGCGUAGGCGGCCCGCUAAGUCAAACGUGAAAUCCCCGAGCUCAACUCGGGAACUGCGUCCGAUACUGGCGGGCUUGAAUCCGGGAGAGGGAUGCGGAAUUCCAGGUGUAGCGGUGAAAUGCGUAGAUAUCUGGAGGAACACCGGUGGCGAAGGCGGCAUCCUGGACCGGUAUUGACGCUGAGGCGCGAAAGCCAGGGGAGCAAACGGG
rnacentral:rRNA from 1 species